AAGAUUUAGAGGUCACGAGUGACGGCAAUCGACUUGGUAGGGAAGGAUUGAAGAAAAACAUAGGGAUUUUUUCAUGCUUGCGGGAAUUUUGAUAAAUGUCUUUUUGUUUAUCCUGUUUGUUGUCAUGGUAGAGUGUAAACAAAUUGUGAUAAGCAAAUUUAAUUUCGUCUUAAAUAUUUUAUUCAGAAAAAUUUUAGUAAAAUCGGGUCGUCGUUUUUGUGGGAAUUUUUUUUUUGCUAAAUUUUAAGUUUUUGAUUGUGGUUGUAUUUUUAAAUUUUAAAUGAAUUCUGAAUUUGAUUUAAGAUUGCUGUUUUUAUCUAGUGCAAGUCAACAUGUUCAAUAUUUUUCCAAAAGCGUGCGUAGAAAUGUUAAAAAAGUAAUUUAUACCUAUGAAAAUAGUUCACUGGAUGACAUACUAUCAUUUACUAUUGCUGAAUUAGGUGGGAAAAAAGUACAAAGUAUGGCUUUUUUAUUACAUGGUACUUCUAAAGAAUUGUUUCUAGCUGGAGUAGGAAACAGUGUUAUAUGCUACCAGUCUUUAGUGCAAGAUGUAUUAAUAAGAGAUUUUUUUACUUGCUUAUCAUCGACAUUCAUGGAUAUGAAUAAAGAGAAGGCUCGUAUUGAUUUUUUCAAUUCUUCACUUACCCCAGAUGAAGCAUCUAAAUUUAGUGAUGAACUUCAAAGUAUUAUAAAGUUACCUGUUGGGGUUAUUGAGGAUGUUAAUAGAUGUAAUGUGCAAGUUGAUUGCACUAUAAAUGGUGAAGCAAAAUCUAAACUUGUCAGUGAACUAUAUUUUCAUCAAGAAAAAUUGGAGGAACUUUUGAACUCAUCUUUGCCGACUCACAUGCAAAACUUAUCAGGUUAUGAAAAAAUAAGAACUGUUGGAAAAGGUGCUUUUGGGACUGCCGUCUUAUAUCGUAAGAAGUAUGAUGACUCAUUAGUCAUUGUAAAGGAAAUAAACAUGCAUGACUUGACUGCGAGUGAAAGACAGCUAGCUAUUAAUGAGGUCAGUGUGUUAUCUAUGCUAAAUCAUGAAAACAUAGUGAGUUAUUAUGACAGCUUUGAAGAAGACGGAUUAUUAAUGAUAGAAAUGGAAUAUGCUGAUGGAGGAAAUCUUGCUCAAUAUUUGGCUCAAAUGAAAACAUCGCUUGAUGAAAAAGAUAUUCUUCUGUUUUUUAAACAAAUAGUAUCUGCCAUAAAACAUAUGCACGAUCACAAUAUAUUGCACAGAGAUCUCAAAACUGCUAACAUAUUUUUGACCAAAGAUGGUGCUGUUAAGGUUGGUGAUUUUGGAAUAUCAAAAAUGCUGACAACAAAGCAGGGAGGUGCCAUGACUGUUGUAGGAACACCAUACUACAUCAGUCCUGAAAUGUGUGAGGGUAAAUUUUACAAUCAAAAAUCUGACAUCUGGGCACUUGGUUGUAUUUUGUAUGAAAUGGCUUGCCAACAAAAAACGUUUGAAGGCUCUAAUCUUCCUGCUCUUGUAAACAAAAUUGUAAAGGGUCAGUUUGCUCCAGUUCGAGGCAAUUACUCACCAGGAUUCAAACAGCUGAUUCGGGAUCUUCUUCAACGAGAUCCAGACAUGCGACCGACGGCUACUGAAAUUCUAAAUAAUAGAUUACCAUCUCUUAUAAUGGUGUAUGAUGAAGAUAAUAAUAAAGAUUAUGAAGAUUCCGAAAUUUCAAUGGAUUUUGAAUAUCAAGGGCAGCCUGGAAAUUCCAAAAGCUUCAGUUCAGAUCUGAGAUCUGUGUUGUAUGAAGUGAAAAUGCAUGAAGCUGAUAUUUCUCUCACUCCAAUACCUCUUCCACCCCGAAGUAAAAUAAAAGAGGUUGCCCUCAGUUCCACUCACAUGAUAGUUGUGACAGCUGAACUUUUGGUGUACACUUGGGGUGAUGGCAGAAAAGGUCAACUUGGACACGGUAAGUUGGAGACCUGGAGAGACAAGCCAUUUUGUGUAGAAGCUUUGAAGGGAAAGAAUAUUGCCCGAGUGUGUGCUGGAGAAGGCUUCAGCGUGUUCUCCAGUGACAAUGGAAUCCUGAUGACUUGUGGGAAUGGAUCCCAGGGUUGCUUGGGACAUGGAGACUGGAACAUGUGUGUCAAACCUAAAAUCAUUGAGAAAUUACUCAGUAUCGAUGUGUCUGAUGUCAGUUGUGGUCCAAAUCACGUUGUGGUGGUCGGCCGAGAAGGUGAUGCCUAUUCCUGGGGGUGCGGUUCGGGUGGACGGCUUGGUACAGGCUCUGAAGAGGACUGUUGUGCUCCUGUUGAAAUUAUAUUCCCUCAUGAUGCGAAAGUGGUGAAGUCAUUUUGUGGACAUGAUGGCACCAUGUUUAUUACAGAGAGAGGGACCCUCCUUGCAUGUGGAAUGAAUGAUUUCAACAAACUUGGAAUGAAUGAACAGAGGGGGUUCCUCAUUCAAAUGAUUGCAAAGUGUAAUGUUGAGAAACAUAAUAUUCCUGUGAAACUUAGCUGGCUGCGUCAGAAAGCAAUAUCUGUCUCUAUGGCUGCGAUGCACACAGCUGUUUUGGUGGAGCCAGGCAAAAUAAUCACCUUCGGCUUCAACAAGAAUGGUCAACUUGGAAGGGGAAACACACGAAAUCAUUCCUCACCAGCCAUUGUGAAGUCCAUGUCUGAUCGGACAGUUACGAUGGUGGAAUGUGGAGACACCUUUACAAUCGCCGGUACAUCGGAGAAUGCUGUGUAUUUCUGGGGAAGUCGACAGAUACUGUCUCCUUAUUCAUCCAACGAAGUGACGCCCAAUCACAAGGGUUCAAAUCAAAAAGCAUCAAAAACAGCCAAGAGUACUUCAAGAAGAAGACAAAGUACAGAUUCUGAGUUCAUGUCAGAAAUGAGUGAAACUUCCGUUUCUGAAAUUAUCAAAGUUGGGGUGAGCAAUAGUCCUCUUAUGACAGAAAUUGAAAGAAUUGGACCAGACUCUCCCAUAAUACAAGUCAAAACACCAGAUGCUCCCAGCUCUAGGUCACCUUCAUCUUCCAUUUCCAGCAGUAAAUCUGUCUUCUCAUCUCAUGGUGAUGAUGAUGGUUUGGCUGAUUCUUGCAUUGGAAGAAAAGACUUUGUUUUGAAUCCAAAAGAAAUUUUGGCAUUGUAUGCUUCUCCUGCGCAGAUAGGGAGGGGAGAAGUGGUGAGCUUAGCCAAUGUGUAUUGCUGUGGAAUGCAGGUGUAUCUUGUUGUUGAUACAACCGCUCCCCUACCUCGUUCUAACAAAAGAACAAAUUCUGCACCCUCUAAAGCUAUGAAUGCAGCACCUUUGGUACCAUCUGAAUCAAAACCAUCUCUAUCUGAAGAAGAUAGCUUGGGGCCGAGUCACAUAGGCAUGCAGUUGGGGAGACAAAGCAGGGACACAAAUCCCAUUCUCAACAUUCAGAAAGCAUCACUGUGCAGCCUGUUUCAUCUCACCCAAAUAGAAUAAUUUCCGAUGAAAACAAAAACAAUGGACUGUCUCAGUUUCAGAAAGAUGUCAACAGGAAUAACAACUCUGUUCAUAAUGUUCGAGAAAAGGAACUAGAAAAUGAGAUUGUAAAACUAAAGGAAGAAUUAAAAAAAUAUAAAGAUAUGCCAAAUAAAAACUCUCGUUUUCAGGAAGAAGAA
rnacentral:misc_RNA from 1 species